rnacentral:lncRNA from 1 species
UAUAGAGAAUACUACUUUAUUAUUUAGCAACAUUGCAUUGUAAUCCUCCAAGAAGUGACAUGGCUUACUCAAAUUCAUACGUGUUUCUUGGUUUGGGACUUUUUAUUAUUCUCUCUUCUCAAGUUCUAGCUCAAGUUCCUCUUCUUCUUCCUCCUCCACCUCCACCUCCUCCUCCUACAAUUAUUUGUAAGUCAUGCUAGACUAUAAUGUAUUUUUCUACGCAAAUGCACAUGUUUAAAAAAAUAUGAUUCAAUAUAUGUAUAAAUAUAACACACAUUCUAAUGAAACAUAUUAAAAUGAAAUUAAUAUAGUACUUAAGUUCUAGUUCAAUGGGUAAAUGGAAAUAAUGUUAGGUUAAACAUUUUGUCUUAGAUUUUAACCUAAGACUUCAGAGUUGCGUGUGUUAAUUAUGAUGGAAUUUACCAUUUCUUCUAAAAUAAAAUAAAAAUGAUAUUAUUAUAAAACUAGGACCCUCAAAUUAAACUUAUUAAAAUAAUAUUAAUAUUAAACUUAUAACUUUAUAAUUAUUUGGUUUCAAUUUUAGAUCCUGAAAUUGUAUUAUAUUUUAUUUUAACUCUUAUAAGUUUUUUUUUAUUUGAAUUAAGUCCUUGCAAAUAUAAAAAAUGUCGUUUUAAAUUCUUAAGUUAGUUUAUGGGAUCACAUGGUGCGACAUUAUAGGAUCACAUUUGAUCUCAAGGACUAAAUAUAAACUUUUUAAAAUUUGCUGAGAUUAAAAUCAAACAAAAACACUUAGAAUGACUAAAACCAAAAAAUAAUAUAACUGCAUGAACUAAAAUCAUAUUCAGACCUCAAACUUUUAUUAAGGUAUACGAUUUUUUAAGAAGUCAGAAAAUCAUACUUAUAAGGUUUAUAUAUAAAUUUUUAUUUCACUUUUACAUUUCUUGAUAUAAUGCAUUCUCCAAUAGAUAUUUUAAACACAAUAUGGAAACCCCAAUGACAACUGUGCAUAGUUAUGCUGGCCUGAUGCAUGAAGUGACACUUCUAGAAGCUGAAGCUGAUCGGAUGACUUUCCGUGCAAAUUUGAUAAAGAAGAAUGUUGCUAAAUCUAUUCAUCAAAGCCGUAAAUUUCUAAAUCAUUUAUUUGAUGAAGAAGAUAAAGUUUCCAAAAGUAAUGAGGAAGAUAAAGUUUCCAUAACUGAUAAGGAAGAUAAAGUUUCCAGAAAUGACAAGGAAGACAAAAUUUCAAAUAAUGAAGAGAAAAACAAAGUUUUAAAAAAUAAGGAGAAAGAGAAGGUUUUUAAAAGUGACAAGGAAGAUAAAGUUUUCAAAAAUGAUAAUAAAAAUACAAUUACAAAUUAAAAAUAAUGAAAAAAAAAUGAAGUUUACAAAUGUGACGAAGAAGAUAAACUUUCUUUAAUAUUUCCCAUGUAUUAAUAGCAUGCAAGAAUGUAUAUAUUAACUGUAUAAAUAAAAGGGUGAAAGUAGACAUUAUACUUAUAACUUGCCAUAUAUAUACAUCAAAACAUGAGUUAUAUAUAGUUCAUAUCAAUAUUUGGGUAAUGAUAUAUUGAUAUCAGAUGUCAAACAUUACAAACUUACACCUUUAAUACUUUGAAGAAGAUGAAUUAAAUUAUAUCAAUCCAAUUUGUCGAAUAAUCUUGAAUUAUGUAGAUGAUUUUAUAUACAAAACUUCAAACAAUUUAGAAACUCGUUGGUAAAAGUUUUAGUAAUAGAUAUUGUAACAUUCUGAUUUAAUUCAAACUAUUAUUAAUGAAAUUACAAACGUGAAAAAUGUGGAUUAUUAUUAUUUAAAACAAGGCUAAAAUAAAAUAAUUAUUUGAUCUAAACCAAAUAAUAAAUUUUCUUUUAUUGACUUCCACAAUAAAAACAUAGUCAUUACAAUUAAUUACAAACAAACAAGUAGUUGUGUAAAUAAAAGAACGAAAUCCUAAAGUCAAGACUCUUGGGUUUUUUCUACCCAAGAGAAAACCUAGUUGGUCACAAUUUUGAAUGCUUGUGAAAAAUUCUCAAGGCUAACACCAGUGUUAAAAAGACAAAUCAGAGCCUCCAAUUACACUAUCGUUUUACAAUUUUAAUAAUUUCCACAUAAUUUAUAUCCUUUUUUUUUAUUCAGAUAACUUAUAUACUUUCAUAAAAAUAGAGUUUGUGAUUAUCAAAUAUAUAAAUUUUCUCUUAAAUCAUAGUUAAUAUUAUAGACCCGGAACAGUUGUAAAAUGGUGAUUAGUUCUACUUUGAUUAGUAAUAAUUUUUUCAUCUCUAAAAAAAUUGUUAAGUUUUUAUGAUUAAAUUUUUGCAAAACAUUGUUUCUAUCAUAUUAUUUCUAGAGUAAAAAUUCUUAUUUAAUUAAAAACUCUAUAAUUUUUUUUCAAUAUGAUGUAUUCUUCUUAUAACCUUACAUAUUUACAAAAUUAAUACAUUAAUAAAUUAUUUAUAUCUUAUUCAAAAAAAUUUAAACCCCAUGCAAAACAUGGGUAAUAGUCUAAUAAUAUAUUAAAAUAGACUCCUAAAUACUAUUGUAACACAUCAUCUGAUAUUGUGUCAUUUCAUUCAAUAAUUGUCACCACAACAAAAAUUUGAUGUGCCAUAUGUAAUAUUAUAUAUAACUAUUCAUGUGCCAUCAUUAUUGGUAAUAAUUUUUCUAUGGUUUUAACUCCAAUUAAUAUAUUGGUCCUUUCAAUGCUUAAAUAUAUAAAUGACAACAAUUUGUGGAAGUUAUUUUGUAUCAUAUAUUGCUUAUGUUUAUUUGGAAAUUGGAAGACAAUGACACAUAAACUUUGGUCUCUAUGCAACUUUUCUAUUUAUAAGUUGUUUAGAUUGAUUGGGGACAAUUUUGUAAUUUCUAGCAUCUAAUUUUUUAUUCUUUUUAUAUUUAUUUUACGUGCUUUUUAUAAUUAAUGUUUAUAUAUUUGAGUUUUAAUUCUAACUAUAAUAUGUUAUGAUAUCUUUAUGAUCAAUUAUUGUGUAUACAUUUGGUGCAAAUACUUUUGAACAAAUUGUGCUUAUAUUUUAUUAUGAAUUAAGUUACGUGUUGUAAUACCCCAAAUUUUAUAAUAAAUAUUUUCUUAAUGAAAUAGAAUUUUGGAUAAUUAAUUUGGUGUUAAAACUAUUUUAGAAUAUAUGUGGAUAAAUCUUGUGACUAACUUUCAUUAUAUGGGAGCUUUCUAUGAUACGCUAAUUUUGUAUAUAUUUGAAUAAAUAAGUGAUAUAAAUAACAAAUAUAAUAUUUUAUAAUUUUAUAUAUUUUUAUAUUUUUUUCUAUAAAUAAUAGUAUUUUAGUGUAAAUAUUUUAAAGAAUAAGAUUUUAGGCGACUCUACAUGUAUAUGUGUGUUCGCAGUUAAUGUGAUAUUUUCUUGUAUGUUUGACUGAUGUUAAGUGUGCACAUAUUUAAUUAUUUAUAAACAUAUGUUAUUUUAAUUAUUUAUUUUACAAAUAAUUAUCUUGAUAUAUUAAUAUUUUUAAUAUUUAUUUUCUUUAUUUUUAUAUAGUUGCACAUAUUUAUUUUUAUUUAUUUUAUCAUUUUGACUAUUCUAUAAAGAUAAUGUUUUUUUAUGUGAUUAUUUUGAAAGAUGUUAUAGUAGUAAUUAUAGUUAUUAUUUUGAAUAUGAGCGUUUUGGUUAAAAUUCGAUUUAUUAUUUUAAGGAUAGAUAAUAUUAUGUUAAAAUGAGUAUUUUGGAGAAAAGUUUCUAGAAAAGUAAAAUAAACUAUUUAUUUAUUGUAGGCUUUUAGAAAUACUAGAAAAAUGAAUUUUGGACAAAACGACUGUUUACACCCCUAUUUUCUACUUAUGCAUAUUACUUUAGGCUAUUACUUGUUGGACUUUCUCUUUCCUACACCUGCGAAAUUGCUCAUUACACCUCUAUUCCUGCAAAAGACACAUACUAGACUCUCGUGUGUUGGGUCUUACAGCCUGUUUUACUCAUGUAAAAUUUAUCAUGUAACCCCAAAAAAAAAAAUUAAAAUGUCAAAAAUACCCUCAAUUAUUUUUUUAUGAUUUCACACAAUCUAAGGUAAAUUUUUUUCACCCUUUUUUUAUUUCCGGAGUCGUAAAAAAGUUUUCCGGUAUGUUCAAUUUUUCUGGUAACUAUCGGAAUACUUGUAAUAAGAUUUCGGGUACGUAAGGUAUAUUCCGGAAAACAUAAAACGAAGUUUUCCGGUACAAAAGGGAAAAGUUGUGUACCGGAAAACUUAAUUGACAAGUUAUCCGGUACAAAAUUGGCUUCCGGAAAACUUCAUAUACAAGUUUUUCGGUACAUAACUAUUUUUUAAAAUUUAUUUUUAAGUUUUUUGAAUUUUAUUAAUUUAUUUUAAAUGUUAACGGAUAUGGAUAAACUAUUACUAUUAAUGGAUAAAACAUGCGUCGAUACUACAAAUAUUUUUGACACAUAUCAGGUAAGAAUAAAUAUAAUUAAUAUUGUAAAAAUAUAUUAUUGUUAUUAAUUAUAAUUUAUUUUAUUUCAGAUAUUUGAUACAAGGGAUGCUGUUGUGAAUUGGGUAAAAGAAAUCGGUAUAAAAAUUAAUGUUAUUGUUAUUAUCAGAAGAUCAGAUAUAGAGACGGGAGAGAGAGUAAGGAGAAAUAAAUUACUAUUAAUUUGUGACAAAGGGAGAAAAUACAAGUGUGCUGCUACUUCAACUCGAAGUUCAACAAAAAAGUGUGAUUGUCCUUUCAAGCUUAGAUCAAAACCAUUAAAAGAUGGUUCAGGAUGGAUAGUUAAAGUAAUUUGUGGAAUUCACAUCCAUGAAUUACCUGAUACUUUGGAGGGGCAUGCAUAUGUUGGACGCUUAGAUGAAGAAGAAAGAAAGCAUGUUCAUGACUUAACAAAAUAUAAUGGAGCAUCGAGACACAUAUUACUCUCAUUGAAAGACCGAGAUAAGAGUAAUGUUACUAAAAUAUCAUAAAUAUAUAAAUAGAGGAGUAUGAUUCGAUUGAACGUGAGAGGUAAUAGAACAAAGAUGCAACAUUUAUUCACGUUAAUUGAAGAUGAAAAAUAUGUGUGUCGGAAUAGAAAGUGUGAAGACACUGAUGUUAUGAAAGAUAUUUUUUUGGGCACAUCUUGAUUCAGUGAAGACUUUGAUGUUAUGAGAGAUAUUCUUUACUCUUACACGGUAAAGUUCUAAAUCAAAAGACUGAGCUCUGAUACCAAUUGAAGUAGUUGGAAAAUACAAGACACGUGAGUUUGAAUUGUGUUUGCCAUUUUUGAAGGCUAUUUAGACAUCCUUACACAAAUUGUUCUUUAUCAAAACAUGCAACUUACUUUUAUAAAAAAAGGUUUAGACAGAGUAAGGUUGAAUAAUAAAUAAAUAAAUAAAUAAAUAAAUAAAUAAAUAAAUAAGAUGCGAAAAAUAGAAGAAGAUAAAAGAGACAUAUUUUUAUAAUAGUUCACAACAAAUAGUUCCUAUAUCUAGCACUCCCUUUACAAAGAGAUUUUACCUUAGCACAGUCGAUGACUUAAUCCACUAUUUCCAUAAAUAACAUAAAAGUAUUCUUUACUCUGCCUUUUUAGGCUUUUAGUAUUUUUCUCUAGCCUCUACAGGUUGUCUCCAUCAAAACCUUCUUCAACUUUCUGGCAUCUUGCCAUUAAGAUUCAUGAGAGUCGUGGUACCUUUUCACGUACCUCUUAGGGGUGAGAAGGUUGUUGUCUGAUUUGACACAAAGUUUGUUUUUCGAAUUCUAACUCUAAUUGAGAGGGUGUUACAGAUCAACUCCUCUAUCAGUACAAGUGUCAGAAAACAAGAUAUAUGAACAAGUAGUAGAUUCUAGAUGUUGAUCAGAUGAUGCACAAUUGCUUCGUCUUCUUUGGAAUGUCGAAUUUCAUCAUAGCAUUUACUUCUUUUAUAUCAUUGAUUUCCUUCAGUGCAUACGACAUAAGUUAGAAUUAUAUGAUCAGAAACUUGAAAUGAUUAUCAGUGGCAGAGAAUCACUCGCUUGUCAAGCUUAUUAGAGGCAAUUGAUUACUUGCUUUAUCAAUCGUAUCAGAGGUAGACGAGCCGAGAAUAGCUGAAACAUAAUGUAUCAUGUAUUUAUAGAGUCACUAGAACUAGAACAUUGCUUGUGUUAUAAGAGUCAGUCAAAACACAACAUUGCUUUGCGUCGUUGGAAGCGUGUGUUACAACACUUGCGUCAAAAUCAAACAAAUUGAAUGAAGUAGAGUCUUGUUGUUCCUCAGUCUUCGUACAAUCACCAGAGGAUAUAACUUAAAUCAAGGUAACAUUUGACUUUGAACUAAUACUUGCAAUAUUACGUUUUCCUCCAAUAGUAGACAUAGUUACUUGUGUAAUAGGAUAUAAUAUUCUUUGUGCAUAAGAAACACUUAGAUUAUUGUCUCUAUUUUACUUAGAACUUAUGCUACUCUAAUAUGAAUAGUCAUUAAUAUAACUCUUUGUGUUCUAACUUAAUAUGCACACUAUGCAAAUACAGACACGAGAUGAUUAUUCUUUAUUUGUUUGUUUUUGUUAUCUUAAAAUAUCUAUCAGAGGAUUGUAGCGAAAUCCCAUUUUGCACUAACACACCCUAUUAAAGUUUCUAACUCAUAGUUUAAGCUCACCAAAUUUUAAGUGUUCUCGUUAGUCAAUUAUUAUACAAAGGGCUUCACUCACAUCUAACAAGUCUUAAGAUGAUUUGUGGGAAAUACGAUUUUCACGUUUGAUUGACAUUAUUUUACACUCAUGAAAUCAAGCGGAGCAUAAUAUUAAAGUAACAUAAUUAACUAAAAAGUUAGGAAUAAAAACGAAGAUAAAAACGACACCAAAUCGAUAGUUAGAUAAAGUAUCACCGAUGCGUCGAAGCACUGACAAGAUCCGACGUCAACUUUAUCGAAAUAUGCGAAUCAGUAGAGCUGAUUGAAAGUUUCGACGAGAGGAAUCCAAAAACGAUAUCAUUUUUUUCCAAUGAUGAAUACGGAAGUCGAAAAAGGAAAGUAUUGUCCGUCUAAAUAAGAAAAUGUGAUUGUUUCUUAAAAGAGAAUAUGAGUAUAGCUUCUUCAAAGUUUCAACGAGAAAAAUCAAAAAACGAUGUCCAUUUUUUUCAAUGAUCAACACAUAGGCCGAAAAAAAAAAUACAGUCCGUCCAUUUUUACAAAGAUUAUUUUUAAGACAAUAAAAGAGAAUAUGCAUACCGAAACUAUAUUAUAUUAUUUUUACCCAAGGACAAGAAAACAUGCAUGAUUGGAGAAAAUUUUUUUGGUUUUUUUUUAUUCCUAAAUUAAAUUCAAGUCCCCAUCUUUUUGUUUCUUUAACAAAAAAUUUAACUUAAUUGAAAAAAAAAAAUCAUAGCUGAAUUAAAAAAUUAUAUUUGAACGGACACUAUCUAAAUAAGUGUUACGUUUUAAAUCGUAAUUUCUAUAUCAAUAUUUACAUGUCCUUUUGAAGUUGCUUUUGCCAAAAGGUUUGCCUUAAUUUAAUUUGAAAUUUGACUCUUGGCCCAAAAAAAGGACAUCUUCUUUCCAUAUACAUAGAGAAUACUACUUUAUUAUUUAGCAAUAUUGCAUUGUUGUAAUACUACAAGAAGUGACAUGGGUUACUCAAAACAUGCAAGUUACUUUUAUAAAAAAGGAUUAGGCAGAGUAAGGUUGAAUAAUAAAUAAAUAAAUAAAUAAAUAAAUAAAUAAGAUGCGAAAAAUAGAAGAAGAUAAAGGAGACGUAUAUUUUUAUAAUAGUUCACAACAAAUUGUUCCUAUUUCUAUUUCUCCCUUUCAAAAAGAUUUUACCUCAGUAAAGUCGAGGACUUAAUCCAUUAUUUCCAUAUAUAGCAUAAAGGUAUUCUUUACUCUGCCUUUUUAGGCUUUUAGUAUUUUUCUCUAGCCUCUCCAGAUUGUCUUCAUCAAAACCUUCUUCAACUUAUGGCAUCUUGCCAUUGAGGUUCACGAGAGUCGUGGUACCUUUUCACGUACCUCUUAGGGGUGAGAAGGUUGUUGUCACUAUCGGGCUAAUUUACAUCAGUUUUAGUUUGUGUCUGAUUUGACACAAAGUUUGUUUUUCGGAUUCUAACUCUCAUUGAGAGUAUGUUAUAGAUCAAGUCAUUUAUCAGUACAAGUGUGAGAGAACUAGAUAUAUGAACAAGUAGUAGAUUCAAGAUGUUGAUCAAAGGAAGCACAAUUGCUUCGACUUCUUUUGAAUGUUGAAUUUCAUCAUAGCGUUUACUUCUUUUAUAUCAUUGAUUUCCUUCAGUGCAUACGACAUAAGUUAGAGUUAUAUGAUCAGAAACUUGAAAUGAUUAUCAGUGGCAGAGAAUCACUCGUUUGUCAAGCUUAUUAAAGGCAAUUGAUUACUUGCUUUAUCAAUCGUAUCAGAGGUAGACGAGCUGAGAAUAACUGAAACAUAAUGUAUCAUGUAUUUUUAGAGUCACUAGAACUAGAACAUUGCUUGCGUUAUAAGAGUCAGUCAAAACGCAAUAUUGCUUUGCGUCGUUGGAAGCGUGUGUUACAACACUUGCGUCAAAAUCAAACAAAUUGAAUGAAGUAGAGUCUUGUUGUUCCUUUGUCUUCGUCCAAUCACCAGAGGAUAUAACUUAAAUCAAGGUAACAUUUGACUUUGAACUAAUACUUGCAAUAUUACAUCUUCCUCCCAUAGUAGACAUAGUUACUUGUAUAUUAGGAUAUAAUAGUCUGUAUAUAAGAAACAUUUAGAUUAUUGUCUCUAUUUUACUUGGAUCUUUUGCUACUCUAAGAUGAAUAGUCAUUAAUAUAACUCUUUGUGUUCUAACUUAAUAUGCACACUUUGCAAAUACAGAUGCAUUAUGAUUAUUCUUUAUUUGUUUGUUUUUGUUAUCUUAAAACAUCUACCAGAGGAUUGUACCAAAAACCCAUUUUGGACUAACACACCCUAUAAAAGUUUCUAACUCAUAUUUUAAGCUCACUAACUUUUAAGUGUUCUCGUUAGUCAAUUAUUAAACAAAGGGCUUCAGUCACAUGUAGUAAGUCUUAAGAUGAUUUGUGGGAAAUACGAAUUUUCCGUUCCAUUGACUUAUUUUAAACUCAUGAAUUCAAACUCACGCUCACAUCAUACAUUAAUUGACACUUUCAUAAAAUAUGUGAAUCACCAAAAGUUCCAAGCAACGCCAGCCCUACAACGUGCAAUAGAUGUGUCUGAAUGUCUCUGAAAUCAGCGAAGAAUUCAUAGGAUCACAAAAAUCGGUCUGGUAAAUCAAGCGGAGCAUAAAAUCAAAGUUACAUAAUUAACUAAAAAUUUAGCAGUAAGAACGAAGAUAAAAACGACACCAAAUCGAUAGUUAGAUAUAGUAUCACUGACGCGUCGAGGCACUGACAAGAUCUGACGUCAACUUUAUCAAAAUAUGCGAAUCAGUAGAGCUUCUUAAAAGUUUCGACGAGAGGAAUCUAACAAUAUCAUUUUUUCCAAUGAUGAAUACGGAGGUCGAAAAAGGAAAAUAUAGUCCGUCUAAAUAAGAAAAUGUGAUUGUUUCUUAAAAGAGAAUAUGAGUAAAGCUUCUUCAAAGUUUCAAUGAGAAUAAUCAAAAAACGAUGUCCAUUUUUUUCAAUGAUCAACACGGAGGCCGAAUAAGGAAAAUACAGUCUGUCCAUAUUUACAAAGAUUAUUUUUUAGACAAUAAAAGAGAAUAUGCAAUCGAAACUAUAUUAUAUUAUUUUUACCCAAGGACAAGAAAACUUGCUUGAUUGGAGAAUUUUUUUUUUUUGGUGUUUUUUUUAUUCCUAAAUUAAAUUUAAGUCCCCAUCUUUUUGUUUCUUUAAUAAAAUUUUAACUUAAUUGAAAACAAAAACAAAAAAAAUUCAUAGCUGAAUUAAAAAAAUUAAAUUUGAACGGACACUAUCUAAAUAAGUGUUACGUUUUAAAUCGUAAUUUCUAUAUCAAUAUUUACAUGUCCUUUUGAAGUUGCUUUUGCCAAAAGGUUUGCCUUAAUUUAAUUUGAAAUUUGACUCUUGGCCCAAAAAAAGGACAUCUUCUUUCCAUAUACAUAGAGAAUACUACUUUAUUAUUUGGCAACAUUGCAUUGUAAUCCUCCAAAGAAGUGACAUGGCUUACUCAAAUUCAUAUAUGUUUCUUGGUUUGGGAUUUUUUAUUAUUCUCUCUUCUCAAGUUCUAGAUCAAGUUCCUCUUCUUCCUCCUCCACCUCCACCUCCACCUCCACCUCCUCCUCCUACAAUUAUUUGUAAGUCAUGCUAGACUAUAAUGUAUUUUUCUACGUCAAAUUCACAUGUUUUAAAAAUUAUGAUUCAAUACAUGUAUAAAUAUAAGACACAUUCUAAUGAGACAUAUUAAAAUGAAAUUAAUAUAGUACUUAAGUUCUAGUUCAAUGGGUAAAUGGAAAGAAUGUUAGGUUAAACAUUUUGUCUCAGAUUUUAACCUAAGACUGCAGAGCUGCGUGUGUUAAUUAUGAUGGAAUUUACCAUUUCUUCUAAAAUAAAAUAAAAAUGAUAUUAUUAUAAAACUAAGACCCUCAAAUUAAACUUAUUAAAAUAAUAUUAAUAUUAAACUUAUAACUUUAUAAUUAUUUGAUUUCAAUAUGAUUUUAGUUCUUGAAAUUGUAUUGUUUUUUAUUUUAACUCUUAUAAGUUUUUUUUUUUUUGAAUUAAGUCCUUGCAGAUAUAAAAAAUGUCGUUUCAAAUUCUUAAGUUAGUUUAUGGGAUCACAUGGUACGACACUAUAGGAUCACAUUUGAGCUCAAAGACUAAAUAUAGAUUUUUUAAAAUUUGCUGAGAUUAAAAUCAAACAGAAACACUUAGAAGGACUAAAACCAAAAAAUAAUAUAACUGCAUGAACUAAAAUUAUAUUCAGACCUCAAACUUUUAUUAAGGUAUACGAUUUUUUAAGAAGUUAGAAAAUCAUACUUAUAAGGUUUAUAUAUAAAUUUUUAUUUCACUUUUACAUUUCUUGAUAUAAUGCAUUCUCCAAUAGAUAUUUUAAACACAAUAUGGAAACCCCAAUGACAACUGUGCAUAGUUAUGCUGGCCUGAUGCAUGAAGUGACACUUCUAGAAGCUGAAGCUGAUCGGAUGACUUUCCGUGCAAAUUUGAUAAAGAAGAAUGUUGCUAAAUCUAUUCAUCAAAGCCGAAAAUUUCUAAAUCAUUUAUUUGAUGAAGAAGAUAAAGUUUCCAAAAGUAAUGAGGAAGAUAAAGUUUCCAUAACUGAUAAGAAAGAUAAAGUUUCCAGAAAUGACAAGGAAGACAAAAUUUCAAAUAAUGAAGAGAAAAACAAAGUUUUAAAGAAUGAGGAGAAAGAGAAUGUUUUUAAAAGUGACAAGGAAGAUAAAGUUUUCAAAAAUGAUAAUAAAAAUACAAUUACAAAUUAAAAAUAAUGAAAAAAAAAAUGAAGUUUACAAAUGUGACGAAGAAGAUAAACUUUCUUUAAUAUUUCCCAUGUAUUAAUAUAGCAUGCAAAAAUUUAUAUAUUAACUGUAUAAAUAAAAGGGUGAAAGUAGACAUUAUACUUAUAACUUGCCAUAUAUAUACAUCAAAACUUGAGUUAUAUAUAGUUCAUAUCAAUAUUUGGGUAAUGAUAUAUUGAUAUAUAUCAGAUGUCAAACAUUACAAACUUACACCUUCAAUACCUCUUUGAAGAAGACGAAUUAAAUUAAAUCAAUCCAAUUGUUGAAUAUUCUUGAAUUAUGUUGAUGAUCUUAUAUACAAAACUUCAAACAAUUUAGAAACUCGUUGGUAAAAGUUUUAGUAAUAGAUAUUGUAACAUUCUGAUUUAAUUCAAACUAUUAUUAACGAAAUUACAAACAUGAAAAAUGUGGAUUAUUAUUAUUAUUUAAAACAAGGCUAAAAUAAAAUAAUUAUUUGAUCUAAACCAAAUAAUAAAUUUUCUUUUAUUGACUUCCACAAUAAAAACAUAGUCAUUACGAUUCCAAACAAACAAGUAGUUGUGUAAAUAAAAGAACGAAAUCCUACAGUCAAGACUCUUGGAUUUUUUCUACCCAAGAGAAAACCUAGUUGGUCACAAUUUUGAAUGCUUGUGAAGAAUUCUCAAGGCUAACACCAGUGUUAAAAAGAAAAAUCAGAGCCUCCAAUUACACUAUCAUUUCACAAUUUUAAUAAUUUCCACAUAAUUUAUAUCCUUUUUUUUAUUCAGAUAACUUAUAUACUUUCAUAAAAAUAGAGUUUG